GACGAACGCUGGCGGCGUGCUUAACACAUGCAAGUCGAACGGAAAGGCCCUGCUUUUGUGGGGUGCUCGAGUGGCGAACGGGUGAGUAACACGUGAGUAACCUGCCCUUGACUUUGGGAUAACUUCAGGAAACUGGGGCUAAUACCGGAUAGGAGCUCCUGCUGCAUGGUGGGGGUUGGAAAGUUUCGGCGGUUGGGGAUGGACUCGCGGCUUAUCCGCUUGUUGGUGGGGUAGUGGCUUACCAAGGCUUUGACGGGUAGCUGGCCUGAGAGGGUGACCGGCCACAUUGGGACUGAGAUACGGCCCAGACUCCUACGGGAGGCAGCAGUGGGGAAUAUUGCACAAUGGGCGGAAGCCUGAUGCAGCAACGCCGCGUGCGGGAUGACGGCCUUCGGGUUGUAAACCGCUUUCGCCUGUGACGAAGCGUGAGUGACGGUAAUGGGUAAAGAAGCACCGGCUAACUACGUG
rnacentral:rRNA from 1 species